GGGUGGUAAGCAUGCUAGGGGCUCCGGCCUACAGCCUGUAGUUUUUCAUUUCACGUUGCUGGGUUUUCUAAGAAUGGUCUUCUUUGUUUCCAUUUUGAGUCAUGGCUGAAUUCUUAUAUGUUGUCUGAUCUUCAAGCUCAAAUACCCAAGGGACCAGGCAGCUGUGAAUCAACCCUGUGCGUGCGUGUGUGUGUGUGUGUGUGUGUGUGUGUGUGUGUGUGUGUUUUCUAGGAGGUACUAUAGCAAAGAAGACAGUAUACUUUUCCUUAUUUCUUUAAAUCGAUAGGGAUUUGGAGGAAAAGACUUUAAUAAAAUAGAAUUGUGACUGAUUAUUUUCCCCUUUCCGAGCACUUCUGUGAAAUCAGAAGGUUAUGAAUAGCAUGAGGAAAAAAAAAUAAUAAAAAACCCUUUUCUAAGGCAGUCCUGUGGGUUUAAGCCCAAACCUUAGAUUUAUAAUAAAAGCUCAGUGUCUAUAUGCUAACCUCCACCUUAUGAGAUGGAUCUCUUUUCUGAUGGCAGAGUAUAAAGAAAUCUUCCACAUGCUUUCACUUAUUGGGAAGGCCAGAUGUUUUAUCCUGCUAUGUUAAGUCAUCUUGACAUGUUGCCAUGAAAUGGAAACAACUGCUCGUUUUAAUAUUGCUCCAUAUCUUUAUUACAAGGUACGUCUCAUGCAUCUUAAUUCCUCGUAUUUUCCCUCACUGUCGUUCUCUGAUCUUCUUCAUCCCAACC
rnacentral:lncRNA from 1 species